rnacentral:lncRNA from 1 species
CCUUUCGAGAACCGCCGCGUGGCUGGAGUCAUGGCGGCCUCAGCGGUGUCCGAGAAAGGCUGGCAAACUCCUGCCUUUGGCGGCGGCCGUUGUGUGGCAUCUGCGGCAACGGUGAGACGCAGACCUGCAGGUUGAACCUUAAAAGUGACGAAUGGAGCCUUGAAAUUAAAGAUGUUGGCUCUAGACUUGAAAAAAGACCCAUGAAAACCGUCAUCCGAAAACGGUACAGUGUCAGCCUCAGUUUGAGGCCGAAAAGGAAGCUCCGGAAGAAGACGCUGGCAGCAGUACCCCGCUGGCUGCCCUGGACCCAAGGCAGAAUUUCCCUUGUGUCUGCAGUGUGAGGCAGAACGGUUUUGCCUGGAGCAAGUGAAACGAUUCCUCUCCUGCUGUUACUAGUUAUCUCCCUGUGAUGCCAGACGGGAUCAGCACAGCCCCAGGAGCUAGUUGCUACUGCCUAUAAGAUACCCUCCCCCACCAAAGAGAAUCAUUUAAGGGUUUAGGAGUUGCUGUUGUGGCCCAGUGGGCUAAGAACCUGACAUAGUCUCUGUGAGGAUUCGAGUUUGAUCCCUGGCCUUGCUCAGCGGCUGGGCAUCAAGUGUUGCCCUCGUCUGUGGUGUAGGUUGUGGGUAAGGCUUGGGUCUGGCGUGCCUGUGGCUGUGGCGUGGGCUGGAGCCUCCAAUUCGACCCUUAGCCUGGGAGCUUCUGUGUGCUGUGGGUGCGACCCUAGACAGAACAUAAGAGUUACUUGAACUUCAUCUUUGGGAGUAGUCAGAGACAUUUUCUCUCGGAAGAUCUUGGGCAGUUAGUGAAAUUAGGUAGAACUAAGAACAUUCAGAACAACACGGUUUAGGUGUGUUGAGGUACAGCUCGCGGUGCUGGGACUGCAGCGGUGGUGAAGCUGGUGAAGCGAAGGGAUUGUGAGAUCAACGUGUUGGGGGGGGGGAGACUAAAGGGAAACAGGUGUUUAGCUGGAGAACGCGCUCCGUGGAUUUCCUAUCAAGUCAGUGGUCUUGGGUUUAACUUUCAAACAAAUAAAAAUUUUUAAAAAC